ensembl:lncRNA LINC02709 long intergenic non-protein coding RNA 2709
CUCUCCACUCCUGCCUCCUGGAGACUCAGCGAGCUCGUCCCUCAUUGACUCUACAUCACCCCUCACCCACCGGUCCCAGGUGCACACACGAGACCAGGCCCAGAGGUUGUCUGCAGAGUGAGAUUAUGGCGAAGCAUUUUAUUCUUUUUACAAACCUGCUUUUUCUCAGUUUUCCACAUUGGAUUUGCCAGCUACCUGCCUUUGCAGGACACCUCAGAAGUUACAGACUUGCCUGUGGAAAUGCAGAGAGCACCUGAGGUAUUUCCCGGACUCUCCAGUAGUAGCCUUGAAUGGCUGACCAACCGCAGUCACCUGCCAGAUCUUCUCAGAACCGGCCAGCCCACCAGCGACAGGCCCAUUAAGUGGCCUGGCCCAGCCCAGAUGGAAAACCCCCUCCACGUGACUUUCUAAAGAACAUGCAUGAAGACAAAACACCAGGUGCCUCAGGUGUGACACCCUGAGGACACAUCACCUGUACAGUAUCCUAACCCACCCAAGAUGACACAGUAAGGUAAAACCACAGUAGAGCCCAGGCCUGUUUGACUCUGAAGUCCAGGCUCCUUUCCAACUUAGUGCCCUAAAGGCCUGAUUGGGGUGGGGGUAGGCAGGAAGAUUCAAGCACUGAUUGUUUGUAGCCCAGGCUGGGAGGGCAACAGCUCUAGAAAAAAAGUCACUCACUGCUUUAACCAUCUUCCAGCUAACUGCAGUGAGGUGUACAGGGCCAUGGGGCUCUGGGAUGAACUCUUCCACCUCUACACCUUGUAAACAAGGAUUCCAGACACACCCUCCAAAUGGGAAUGGAGACACACGUUUGGCAGAGUUGGACAGUAACGCUGCUCUCCUAUCAGCCUGGACUUUGAGGGGAGUGGAAAACAUGAGUGUGGAGGUGCAGCAGUCCUGGUAUCCCCUGAAACCAGCCUGUGGGGGGAACAGUCUUCCCAGGGGAGCUGCUCAGGAUCGUCCUGGUCCCAUGCAUCAGGAAGAAAAGGGAACCUGAGAGCAGAGGGAAAAUGCAGAAAGUGGGGCAGGGAGACUGCUCCCUGAAACCCCCAUGGGCUGCUGGUCCAAGCAGAAAGUGUUGUCGGAGGGGGGAGAGGCAGGGUGAAAUGGGACAGGAAACGAGGACUUCCGAUGAGGAGGAGGAGGGGGCAGUGGGCUGCGGGUCUUGGGGACUGAACAGAAUGGGGUUUGCUAGACAGAGCUUUCGUCUACCCACUCCUGAAGUCCUGCUGGACCUCAGCUGGCCCUUGUGAACUGUUGAGGGGGAUAUAAACACAAAGGCCUGCAUUCCUGUGGGUGCACAAUCCUAAGAGACCAUGGACUGCCUGUGUGUGGUGGGAACAGGAAAAGGAGGCUGAGUGUAGCCCUGCUUGGAAUUUAGUGUCCACCACAGAUGUAUCCACUACCCAGGGCCAAAGACUCGGCAGCCUCAGAAGACUCAAUGGAAGCUGAGCACAGGACUAGAAAGGGUCAGGGCCCUCCUCUGUAUGUAGGGGUGGCACAUGGCCACUAGCUGGGUGAUGGGGCACUGAGAAAUUAAAUGUUUGACAUAAAAAUGUAAUCAGGACCCGAGAGGAGGUGGGUGGUGUAAUGAACAGCAUCCUAGAAGUCCGGUACAGAUUUCACGUGUCACCUUCUAGUUCCUUAUCUGAAAUUGAAAGGUGAGGUCAGGUGCAGUGGCUCAGGCCUGUAAUCCCAGCACUUAGGGAGGCUGAGGAGGGCAUAUCAUUGAGGUCAGGUGUUUGAGACCAGCCUGGCCAACAUGGUGAAACCUCUACUAAAAAUACGAAAAUUAGCCGGCUGUGCUGCACACGCCUGUCGUCCCAGCUACUUGGGAGGCUGAGGCAGGAGAAUCCCUUGAACCUGGGAGGCAGAGGCUGCAGUGAGCUGAGAUCACACCACUGCACUCAAGCCUGGGCAUCACAGCGAGACUUCUUAAAAAAAAAAAAAAAAUUUAAAGGUGAGCCAGUUCAGGCUUCUAGAGGCACUGCAGUUACAGACGGUAAACUGCACAAAUCCUGGGUGUGAAGCUGUUUUUUCCUGUGUAACCACCACCCAUUGACAGCAUCCCAGAAAGUUCAAGUGUGUCCCUUCCCAGUUUACAGCCACCCGCCUCCCACCCUCACUUCUAAAUCCACCGAUUAGCAGUGUGUCUUGGAAAUUAAUAUACAAGGAAUCAUAUAGUAUGUGCUCUUUUGUGUUUGGCUUCUUUGCUCAAGAUGUCCGUGAGAUUCAGCCGGGUUGCCUCUCUCUGUAAUAUGUUAAUUUAGGUGUAGUAUCCAUUGUCUGGAAAUACAAUUGUCUAUUCUCU